rnacentral:rRNA from 1 species
UUCCGGUUGAUCCUGCCAGAGGUCACUGCUAUCGGUGUCCGAUUAAGCCAUGCGAGUCGAGAGGUGUAAGACCUCGGCAGACUGCUCAGUAACACGUGGAUAACCUGCCCAAGGGUCCGGGAUAACCCCGGGAAACUGGGGAUAAUACCGGAUGGGUCACCAGUGCUGGAAUGCUUGGUGGUCGAAAGGUGACGCCUUUGGAUGGGUCUGCGGCGGAUUAGGUUGACGCCGGUGUAACGUACCGGCGUGCCUGUAAUCCGUACGGGUUGUGGGAGCAAGAGCCCGGAGAUGGAUUCUGAGACACGAAUCCAGGCCCUACGGGGCGCAGCAGGCGCGAAAACUCUACAAUGCAGGCAACUGCGAUAGGGGGAUAUCGAGUGGCAUCCACCUUGGGUGUCUGUCCAACCGUCUAAAAAACGGUUGUUAGCAAGGGCCGGGCAAGACCGG